CUCAGGACGAGCGCUGGCGGCAUGCCUAACACAUGCAAGUCGAACGGAACUAAGGGGCUUGCCCUUAGUUAGUGGCGGACGGGUGAGUAACGCGUGAGCAACCUGCCUUUCAGUGGGGGAAUAAUAUCCUGAAAAGGGUACUAAUACCGCAUAACGUAACGAGAUCGCAUGGUUUUGUUACCAAAGAUUUAUCGCUGAGAGAUGGGCUCGCGUCCGAUUAGCCAGUUGGUGGGGUAACGGCCUACCAAAGCUACGAUCGGUAGCCGGACUGAGAGGUUGAACGGCCACAUUGGGACUGAGACACGGCCCAGACUCCUACGGGAGGCAGCAGUGGGGGAUAUUGCGCAAUGGGGGAAACCCUUGACGCAGCAAUGCCGCGUGAAGGACGAAGGUCUUCGGAUUGUAAACUUCUUUUGUCAGGGACGAAAAUUGACGGUACCUGACGAAUAAGCUCCGGCUAACUACGUGCCAGCAGCGGC
rnacentral:rRNA from 1 species